UAAUGCUUGGGAAUCUAGCUUAUGGAGGGGGAUAACUACGGGAAACUGUAGCUAAUACCGCGUAGAAUCGAGAGAUGAAAGUGUGGGACCUUCGGGCCACAUGCCAUAGGAUGAGCCCAAGUGGGAUUAGAUAGUUGGUGAGGUAAAGGCUCACCAAGCCGACGAUCUCUAGCUGGUCUGAGAGGAUGACCAGCCACACUGGGACUGAGACACGGCCCAG
rnacentral:rRNA from 1 species